rnacentral:rRNA from 1 species
CCUACGGGGGGCAGCAGUGAGGAAUAUUGGUCAAUGGACGAGAGUCUGAACCAGCCAAGUAGCGUGAAGGAUGACUGCCCUAUGGGUUGUAAACUUCUUUUAUAUGGGAAUAAAAUGUUCCACGUGUGGGAUUUUGUAUGUACCAUAUGAAUAAGGAUCGGCUAACUCCGUGCCAGCAGCCGCGGUAAUACGGAGGAUCCGAGCGUUAUCCGGAUUUAUUGGGUUUAAAGGGAGCGUAGGUGGAUUGUUAAGUCAGUUGUGAAAGUUUGCGGCUCAACCGUAAAAUUGCAGUUGAAACUGGCAGUCUUGAGUACAGUAGAGGUGGGCGGAAUUCGUGGCGUAGCGGUGAAAUGCUUAGAUAUCACGAAGAACUCCGAUUGCGAAGGCAGUUCACUGGACUGCAACUGACACUGAGGCUCGAAAGUGUGGGUAUCAAACAGGAUUAGAUACCCGAGUAGUC